rnacentral:rRNA from 1 species
GGUCAAGUGAAUAAGCGCGUUCGGUGGAUGCCUUGGCAGCUGAAGGCGAUGAAGGACGUGGCAGCCUGCGAUAAGCCUCGGGGAGUCGGCAACAGACUUUGAUCCGGGGAUUUCCGAAUGGGGAAACCCAACCAAGCAAUUGGUUAUCGCGUACUGAAUACAUAGGUGCGCGAGGCGAACCCGGGGAACUGAAAUAUCUAAGUACCCGGAGGAAAAGAAAUCAACCGAGAUUCCCUGAGUAGCGAUGAGCGAAAGGGGACUAGCCCUUAAGCGGGCCGGACGUUAGCAGAAACGCCUGGAAAGGCGUGCCAUAGCGGGUGACAGCCCCGUAUGCGAAAACAACCGGUUCGUGAAAUCGAGUAGGGCGGGGCACGUGAAACCCUGUCUGAACAGCCACCGGCUUCGGCCGCGGCGAGGGGGGACCAUCCUCCAAGGCUAAAUACUCUCAGCUGACCGAUAGUGAACUAGUACCGUGAGGGAAAGGCGAAAAGUACCCCCGUGAGGGGAGUGAAACAGUACCUGAAACCGGAUGCGUACAAGCAGUGGGAGCCAAUUUCGUCACCCUGGCCGCGCGCCGCUUGCGGAAGGCGGGCCAAUCCGACGGAAAGGUGACCGCGUACCUUUUGUAUAAUGGGUCAGCGACUUACUCUUACUGGCAAGGUUAACCGUCAUUGGGGAGCCGUAGGGAAACCGAGUCUGAACAGGGCACAAGCCUCCCGCUUGCGGGAGGAGUCUGUAGGAGUAGACCCGAAACCGGGCGAGCUAGCCAUGGGCAGGGUGAAGGUCAGGUAACACUGACUGGAGGCCCGAACCCACCUAUGUUGAAAAAUGGGGGGAUGACCUGUGGCUAGGAGUGAAAGGCUAAUCAAGCCCGGAGAUAUCUGGUUCUCCUCGAAAACUAUUUAGGUAGUGCCUCUCGUAUCACCAUCGGGGGUAGAGCACUGUUUGGGCUAGGGGGUCACCUCGACUUACCAACCCCAUGCAAACUCCGAAUACCGAUGAGUGCAGCGAGGGAGACAGACGGCGGGUGCUAACGUCCGUCGUCGAAAGGGAAACAACCCGGACCGCCAGCUAAGGUCCCUAAGUCAUGGUUAAGUGGGAAACGAUGUGGGAAGGCUCAGACAGCCAGGAGGUUGGCUUAGAAGCAGCCAUCCUUUAAAGAAAGCGUAAUAGCUCACUGGUCGAGUCGGCCUGCGCGGAAGAUGUAACGGGGCUAAAACCAUGCACCGAAGCUGCGGAGUCGUGCCUUUAGGUACGACUGGUAGAGGAGCGUUCUGUAAGCCGACGAAGGGAAGCCGCGAGGCUUGCUGGAGGUAUCAGAAGCGAGAAUGCUGACAUGAGUAACGAUAAAGGAGGUGAAAAUCCUCCUCGCCGAAAGACCAAGGGUUCCUGCGCAACGCUCAUCGGCGCAGGGUAAGUCGGCUCCUAAGGCGAGGCCGAAAGGCGUAGUCGAUGGGAAGCUGGUCAACAUUCCAGCACCACGUUUUGCUGCGAUGGGGUGACGAAGAAGGCUAGGCUGGCCUGGCGAUGGUUGUCCAGGUGAAAGCAUGUAGGCUGGGAUUCUAGGUAAAUCCGGGAUCUCUUAAGGCUGAGAUGUGACGACGAACGGGACCUAUACGGACCCGGAAGUGGCCGAUGCCACGCUUCCAAGAAAAACCUCUAAGCUUCAGGCAAUGCGUGACCGUACCCCAAACCGACACAGGUGGUCGGGUAGAGAAUACCAAGGCGCUUGAGAGAACUCGGGUGAAGGAACUAGGCAAAAUGGCACCGUAACUUCGGGAGAAGGUGCGCCGCUGAGGGUGACGGGACUUGCUCCCCGAGCUAUCGGCGGUCGAAGAUACCAGGUGGCUGCGACUGUUUACUAAAAACACAGCACUCUGCAAACUCGCAAGAGGACGUAUAGGGUGUGACGCCUGCCCAGUGCCGGAAGGUUAAUUGAUCAGGUUAGUCUUUGCGGACGCAAGUCCGUUGACGAAGCUUGUGAUCGAAGCCCCGGUAAACGGCGGCCGUAAAUAUAACGGUCCUAAGGUUAAGUAGCGCUAGCCUUAGUAAAACUGAACUAUAUGCGGGAAACUCCUCCAAAACUAUCCGG